rnacentral:rRNA from 1 species
UACGGGGGGGAGCAAGCGUUGUUCGGAUUUACUGGGCGUAAAGGGCGCGUAGGCGGUCAGCACAAGUCAGUUGUGAAAUCUCCGGGCUUAACUCGGAAAGGUCAACUGAUACUGUGCGACUAGAGUGCGGAAGGGGCAACUGGAAUUCCAGGUGUAGCGGUGAAAUGCGUAGAUAUCUGGAGGAACACCGGUGGCGAAGGCGGCAUCCUGGACCGGUAUUGACGCUGAGGCGCGAAAGCUAGGGGAGCAAACGGGG